rnacentral:rRNA from 1 species
AACGAACGCUGGCGGCAGGCUUAACACAUGCAAGUCGAACGGUUGUAGCAAUACAGCAGUGGCAGACGGGUGAGUAACACGUGGGAACCUUCCUAGAGGUACGGAACAACUCAGGGAAACUUGAGCUAAUACCGUAUACGCUCGUGAGAGGAAAGAUUUAUCGCCUUUAGACGGGCCCGCGUCGGAUUAGGUAGUUGGUGGGGUAACGGCCUACCAAGCCUACGAUCCGUAGCUGAUCUGAGAGGAUGAUCAGCCACACUGGGACUGAGACACGGCCCAGACUCCUACGGGAGGCAGCAGUGGGGAAUCUUGGACAAUGGGCGCAAGCCUGAUCCAGCCAUGCCGCGUGAGUGAAGAAGGCCUUAGGGUUGUAAAGCUCUUUUACCAGGGACGAUAAUGACGGUACCUGGAGAAUAAGCCCCGGCAAACUUCGUG